rnacentral:rRNA from 1 species
UACGUAGGGAGCAAGCGUUGUCCGGAAUCAUUGGGCGUAAAGCGCACGUAGGCGGCCCUGUAAGUCCGUUGUGAAAGUCAAAGGCUCAACCUUUGAAAGCCGAUGGAUACUGCAGGGCUAGAGUCCGGAAGAGGCGAGUGGAAUUCCUGGUGUAGCGGUGGAAUGCGCAGAUAUCAGGAGGAACACCAAUAGCGAAGGCAGCUCGCUGGGACGGUACUGACGCUAAGGCGCGAAAGCGUGGGGAGCGAACAGG